rnacentral:rRNA from 1 species
UGGGGAAUUUUGGACAAUGGGCGAAAGCCUGAUCCAGCAAUGCCGCGUGUGUGAAGAAGGCCUUCGGGUUGUAAAGCACUUUUGUCCGGAAAGAAAUCCUUGGCUCUAAUACAGUCGGGGGAUGACGGUACCGGAAGAAUAAGCACCGGCUAACUACGUGCCAGCAGCCGCGGUAAUACGUAGGGUGCAAGCGUUAAUCGGAAUUACUGGGCGUAAAGCGUGCGCAGGCGGUUUGCUAAGACCGAUGUGAGAUCCCCGGGCUCAACCUGGGAACUGCAUUGGUGACUGGCAGGCUAGAGUAUGGCAGAGGGGGGUAGAAUUCCACGUGUAGCAGUGAAAUGCGUAGAGAUGUGGAGGAAUACCGAUGGCGAAGGCAGCCCCCUGGGCCAAUACUGACGCUCAUGCACG